CCCAGACUCCUACGGGAGGCAGCAGUGGGGAAUAUUGCACAAUGGGGGAAACCCUGAUGCAGCAACGCCGCGUGAGUGAAGAAGUCAUUCGUGAUGUAAAGCUCUAUCAGCAGGGAAGAAAAUGACGGUACCUGAGUAAGAAGCCCCGGCUAACUACGUGCCAGCAGCCGCGGUAAUACGUAGGGGGCAAGCGUUAUCCGGAAUUACUGGGUGUAAAGGGAGCGUAGACGGUGAUGUAAGUCUGGAGUGAAAGGCGGGGGCCCAACCCCCGGACUGCUCUGGAAACUAUGUGACUGGAGUGCAGGAGAGGUGAGCGGAAUUCCUAGUGUAGCGGUGAAAUGCGUAGAUAUUAGGAGGAACACCAGUGGCGAAGGCGGCUCACUGGACUGUAACUGACGUUGAGGCUCGAAAGCGUGGGGAGCAAACAGGAUUAGAUACCCUGGUA
rnacentral:rRNA from 1 species